UACGUAGGGACCAAGCGUUGUUCGGAUUUACUGGGCGUAAAGGGCGCGUAGGCGGCUUAACAAGUCACUUGUGAAAUCUCCGGGCUUAACUCGGAACGGCCAAGUGAAACUGUCAAGCUAGAGUGCGGAAGGGGCAAUCGGAAUUCUUGGUGUAGCGGUGAAAUGCGUAGAUAUCAAGAGGAACACCUGAGGUGAAGACGGGUUGCUGGGCCGACACUGACGCUGAUGCGCGAAAGCCAGGGGAGCAAACGGGG
rnacentral:rRNA from 1 species